rnacentral:lncRNA from 1 species
GUUGCCUCAAUCAAGCAUUUGUAGCAUCACGGUUCGUUACUGCAUAAGUGGGUUUGAUGUCACAGAAUCAUUGUUUUCUUCCUGUGCCUGGAGCUGAGAAGGAACAGACUGAUUAGGAGGGAAGUUGCUUCUGUGAUGCACAGGCACAGGUGAGGACCCAGACAUCAGAAGUGAACAACGAAGUGAAUAGACAAAAAUAAAUAAUUUUAAAUAGAAUUGUUCAAAGAGGCAAUUUAAAGGCGAUGACUGAAAAAAAAAUACUCAAAUGUGAUGUUAUAUGAAAGAUAAAAGGCAAUUUGUGCACCUAGGAUAUAUUUGUCCUAAAGAGAUGAAGUAGGAUUUAGAGUAUUUAUACCCAACUUAGUUGACAACUUCACUACAGAAUAUUUUGUUGACUUAUAGAGAUAUAUGCAAAGAGAUUGAAUUUCAGUGCAGAGGAAAUGCAAACACAAAUCCAAGAGUUAACAUGUAAGAAAUCAUAGCACAGGUCUCAAAACCACCUGGUGUUUUCAGAGGUCCCUCCCUGCUAAUCCUUGUCCACCUCCCCACUGGGUUGGUGCAGGGGCUUGUUGAGUUCCACCAUAACCAUACCAUUCCAUUCCCAGCUAGAAUGUGACUACUAAUGCAAAUAUUACUUUUUCAGAACCCUGUGAGAAUUAUAUUAUUAUCAGAGUUAAAUGUCCAAAUAUUAACUUUGAAAAUGUCAGAAGAUACACAUGGUGACUAUGAUUUAAUGAUCCUGAGAAGCCAUAACAUAUUUUGAAGGUUAAAACUUUGGUUUAAUUAAUGCCAGCUCUUACUGAAUGUGCACUAAUUUUUUUUUAACAGCAUUGCCUGAAAUUUUGCCAGAAUUGUUGUCAAAUGACAGUGAUUUUUAAUUUUUAAAUAGUUUCUUUUCACAUUCAUUAUUUUAUUUUUCCUUUCAAGAAGGUUGAUUUCCAUGGAAAACAAAACAAAAAACCCCAAGCCAAACCAAAGAGAUGGAAUCAUGAUGGCUCUUGCUGUGACCUGCAAUUCUCCUGCACAUGUUAGCAACUGCAGUGUGACCCAGGAGCUGCACUCCCCGUCACUGGUAUGUGACUGCACUUUAAAAACUGGAAUAUAUUUAGGCUUGCCUUCAGACCCACAGCUGCUGCUUUCACAGAAGUCUUCCUGAGACCACAAUGAAAAGUUCCCAUCACUGUUUAGCAUCACCAAGUUGUUUGUAACUACCAGGCACUGCUUUGUUUAAAAUGUGUGGAAAUGAUGUAUUCAUCAUUUAUGGCUUACUGGAAGAAAGUAACAGAAAAAGGAAUUAAGAACUAAGAGAAGAGCAAAAGGAAAGAGAGAGAGUAAGAUGAGAAAGGGGAGAGAUGAAAGUUUGUUUGGAAUAAAUACAGGUGUGCUGUUCA